AGCAACUGGCAGAAGCUGCCGAGGUGUUUUGAUAAGUGAUUUUAUGUGAAAAUAAACUUGAAUGAUCCUGUAUCAGUCAGAAUAACAGAUUAUACCAACAAAUCAUCUUAAUAUAUUAAUGGCUUACAACAACAGAAGGUCAUUUUCUUCCCAUAUUCUGUGACCAUGUUGUGUCUGCUGGGGGCUGUGACCUCUGCAGUCAUCAGAAUGACCCUUUUAUCCACUCAUGAAAUCUCAGAGAAGCCCCCACCAUCUGGACACCAGCUAUUGAUAAAGCAGGGGAAGAAAAUCUUGUAAAUCAAGAAACAGGACAUACAGUCUCUGGUCAUAGGACAUUGGCUAAAACAAGUGACAUGACUGUGCCUAAUUUAAGCAGGGAGGAGUGAUGCAAUCUCCCUGUGCUUCUGGAAGAAAAAUGGUGCUAAGCAGGCAUCAAAGUGGUGACUAGCUAUUGGAGUAUGGAGUGAUCUCUAGCCAGUGCAGCUACUGAAAUCUGUCUGAACUUGCUCACCUGCCAUGGGAGAACCAGAAAGAAGAUAGGGCUAAAAUGUAAGGAGAGGAACACAUUCUCACGUGGCAACUGAAAAGAUCAGAAAAUAUGUUUCAUCAUUG